CUUCACUGCCAUCCCUCUGCCGACGACGACAACCAACAGCCAUCGCCUCAGCCUUAGCCACACUCGCCGCCGCCCUUCCUCUCGCCCUCUCAUUUCCGAGACCUCCGGCCGCCGCUCUUCCUUCGCCGACGACGACGGCCGACAGCCACAGCCUCAGCCUCAGUCACACUCGCCGCCGCUGCUCUUCCUUCUACAGCUCUCUGUUAAGUGCACAGGCCUCAUUGCUAUCUUUAUAAUCACCAAACAAAGGAGUUCUUUAAUCUUACUUAUGCACAUGAGUAACUUGAAAGAGAUGGUUUGUUACUUGAAAGAGAACUUCAAGUUCUGAGGAAAAGUUGAAAUGGAUACACGAAUGGGAGCUGCUCCUGCACCAAAUCAAGUUCUGGUGAGUUCAGGCGCUCAUUUCUAGAGCAGAAGUUGGCAAGCUUAGAUUUGCCAAAGUAGGAGCAAAAGGUUCUUCUCAAGGACUUGGAACGUAAAGAGACAGAAUAUAUACGUUUCCAAAUUGUUAUUGCAUUUCCUUAUCGGAGGAAUGGCGAAAUUGUAAGCUGCAAAUACCGGGAUAUAAACAAAAGAAAAAGAUUUUGGCAGGAAAGUGACACUGAAAGGAUAUUGUAUGGAUUGGAUGAUAUAACGGGAGCAAGUGAUAUAAUUAGUAUUGAGGGUGACAAAGCAAUUAUUGAUCUGGUGCGUUCUGAAUGGGCCGAUAUUCUAUGAAGUUAUUAGAGUAGGUAUGAUUUGAUCAUUA